UCCUGGUUGGCUCAGUGGUUGAGCGUCUGACUUAAGCUCAGGGCGUGAUCCCUGGGCCCUGGGAUCAAGUCCUACAUCAGGCU
rnacentral:tRNA from 1 species